rnacentral:tRNA from 1 species
UGCCUUGAUGGUGAAAUGGUAGACACGCGACACUCAAAAUGUCGUGCUAAACAGCGUGGAGGUUCGAGUCCUCUUCAAGGCAU